GGGAGUGCGGCUCAGUGGAAGAGUGCUUGCCUAGAAUGCAUGAGGCCCUGGGUUUGAUUCCCAGCCCCU
rnacentral:tRNA from 1 species